UCAAGUGAAUAAGGGCUUAUGGUGGAUACCUUGGCAUUCAGAAGCGAUGAAGGGCGUGGUUACCAGCGAAAUGUCUCGAGAAGUUGGAAACAAACUAUGAUUCGAGAGUUCCCGAAUAAGGAAACUUCUAGAACUGUUUAUUGAAUAUAUAGAUAAAUAAGAGCGAACCUAGCGAAUUGAAACAUCUUAGUAGCUAGAGGAAAAGAAAGCAAAAGCGAUUCCCUAAGUAGCGGCGAGCGAAAUGGGAUCAGCCUAAACUAUUUAUAUUCUAAAUAGGGUUGUGGGACAGUAAUACUGAUUUUAUUAAGUUAGGUGAAAUUGUUGGAAUACUAUAUCAUAGAAGGUGAAAAUCCUGUAACCGAAAACUUUCAUAAAAUCUAACUGUAUCCCGAGUAGUAUGGGGCACGUGAAAUCCCGUAUGAAUCAGCGAGGACCACCUCGUAAGGCUAAAUAUUCCUGAAUGACCGAUAGUGAAACAGUACCGUGAGGGAAAGGUGAAA
rnacentral:rRNA from 1 species